CGCUCCUAGAAAAAGAAUAAACAAAACACAGCUAAGUAAGAGUUUGGGAAUGCUGCAAGGAGCUGCCAGUCACCAAGUGCCUAGAUCAGCCACACCAGGCUGGCUGCAGCACACAGGAGGAGUGUGAUACCCACCUUUAACAUCCUCUCCAGCUUAACUGCAUCUGCAGCAAAUCUCCUGAUCCCAUCAGAGAGCUUUUCCACAGCCAUUUGGUCUUCAUUGUGGUGCCAGCGGAAUGCCUUCUCAUCCAGGUGGAUCUUCUCAAGAUCGCACGCCUGAGCUGUGCAGAAGUAGAAAAAAAAACAGACCAGGUGAUCAGUUUCUUACCUUCUUAAAAUUGUCUUGAGUUCUGACCAUUUCUAUGUGUUGGAAAAAUUUUAAAUACUUUCAGUAUGACUUGCUGCAAGAGCACUUGCUUGCAGUCUGGGAUGUGAGAGUAAAAGUGCUCCUGAUAUGGCUGGAGGAGAACAAAGAGGAAAAAGGUAGCCUAAUAAAUCAGUUUAUCUUAAAACA